CUCCAGCCUGGAUGACAGAGCAAGACUCUGUCUCAAAAAAAGAAAAAAAGAAAAAGACUGAAGUUAAAGAAGAAGGUAUCUGGUAUCUUCAUUGCCUCUAGAAGAUUGAAAGCGCAGAAAGUGUGGAAGCCCUCCCCUCUCUGCCAUCCCCUAAAUCUUGGGAGACCUGGGAUGAGCAACAGGUUUCCCUUCCUUUCCCCAGUUCCCCUACUUAUUAAACUAGGACCCUGCGCAAUGACUGAUGGGCCAUGAAUGAGAACGGUUUACAGUGCAUUAUUUGAGGCAGAGACAUCUAAGGAGGACCUGAAUUCCAACAUGUUAAAAAACUCUCCCAGAACUGCUGAUUCCUAAAUUCCAUUGUCCUCUUGUUUCCAGCAAAAUAAUUUGAUUCUUGUUAUAAACACACCCACGCUUGGCCAGUGUAUGUUUUAAGGUUGUCCGGUGAAUUAAGAGCCUCGAGGCUUUCCUGGAGGUGAGGAAGGAAGGGGAGCCUGGGAGAGGCUGGGAAUGGGGUGGGAGAGGGGCCACCAAGAAAAAGGACAGAGGGAGAGGGCUCUGGGCACCCAGGAAGAACAUCACACCCACUUCCUACUGCUGCCGGGCGCUGUCCCUGCUGAGCUGGUGCUAGGAAUUGUUCGGAAAAUUCAGGUACUGUUGUUAUCAUCUUUCUCCAGAGGAUAUUAUUUUUGAAGAAACUGAGGCACACAGAGGCAGAACAGGAAAUGUCCACGGGGCUGGAGCUCAAGUGCGAAGUCAGCCGGGGCUCCGGCUCCUUUCCGAGGGGCGCUUCCUACGUGCUCCCGACGCUGGCCCUG